GGGCCUGUAGCUUAACUGAAUAGAGUAUCUGACUACGGAUCAGAAGGUUGGGGGUUUGAAUCCCUCCAGGCUCA
rnacentral:tRNA from 1 species